GGAGGUGUAGCUCAGUGGUAGAGCACUUGCUGGCAUGCACAAAGCCCUGGAUUUGAUCCCCAGUACUUCUU
rnacentral:tRNA from 1 species